rnacentral:rRNA from 1 species
AACGAACGCUGGCGGCAUGCCUAACACAUGCAAGUCGAACGAGACCUUCGGGUCUAGUGGCGCACGGGUGCGUAACGCGUGGGAACCUGCCCUUAGGUUCGGAAUAACUCCCCGAAAGGGGUGCUAAUACCGGAUAAUGUCUUCGGACCAAAGAUUUAUCGCCUUUGGAUGGGCCCGCGUUGGAUUAGCUAGUUGGUAGGGUAAAAGCCUACCAAGGCGACGAUCCAUAGCUGGUCUGAGAGGAUGAGCAGCCACACUGGGACUGAGACACGGCCCAGACUCCUGCGGGAGGCAGCAGUGGGGAAUAUUGGACAGUGGGCGAAAGCCUGAUCCAGCAAUGCCGCGUGAGUGAUGAAGGCCUUAGGGUUGUAAAGCUCUUUUACCCGGGAUGAUAAUGACAGUACCGGGAGAAUAAGCUCCGGCUAACUCCGUG